CACCGGCGGCUCGAGUGGUGGCCACUUUUAUUGGGUCUAAAGCGUCCGUAGCCGGCUUGGCAAGUCCCCUGGGAAAUCUGGCGGCUUAACCGUCAGGCGUCCAGAGGAUACUGCCAGGCUUGGGACCGGGAGAGGUGAGAGGUACCUCAGGGGUAGGGGUGAAAUCUUGUAAUCCUCGAGGGACCACCAGUGGCGAAGGCGUCUCACCAGAACGGAUCCGACGGCAAGGGACGAAAGCUAGGGGCACGAACCGG
rnacentral:rRNA from 1 species